AACAGGGCAUACAAGGAAUUCAUAUACCUGUGUGUCUGAAUGGAUUCUAAAAACACUGAACAAGCAAACAUGCUUUGAAUAUGAAAAUAUUCAUAUUGACACUUCUUAAGAAAAAGCACAUUUAUAUAAUAUGUAUAUUAUAUACAUAUAUAAAGUAUAAGGAAGACGGGCCUGGAGAGAAACAUUCCCGAAGCAGUUAUACUGAGCAGGACUUGAGGGCACUGGGGUUGGGAGUGAUACUAAAGAGGAUUUGGAUUUAGGGACGCCUGGGGGGGCUCAGUGAUUGAGCAUCUGCCUUUAGCGCAGGGCGUGAUCCGGGUUCCCAGGUUAGAGUCCCACAUCGGGCUCCAUGCAUGGACCCUGCUUCUCCCUCUGCCUGUGUCUCCGCCUCUCUGUGUCUCUCAUGAAUAAAUAAAAUCUUAAAAAAAAAAUUGGAAUUUUGAAUUCCAGCAAAGAAAAAAAGGCAAAUGCAGUUACUGGUAUAAUUAAAAGUGGUACAACUGGAAGUAAGCAAGUAUUUUUUUAAAAAGUACCUAUGAUGAGAGGCGCCUAGGUGGCACAAGUUGGUUAAGUGUCUAGUUCUUGAUUUUAGCUCAUGAUCUCAGGGUUGUGAGAUCCAGCUCUGCAUCAGGUUCAUGGGCUGGGUGUGGGCACAGAGCCUGCUUAAGAUUCUCUCUCUCUCUCUCUCUCUCUCUCAACAUCCCCUCUGCCCCUCCUCGUGCCUCUCUCUCUAAAAAAAAAAAAAAAAAAGUGUUAAAAAUAUCUAAUGAAAAAAAGGCAUCAGCCUCUUCACUCCAUUGUUUAGAAAGUACAAUACUCUCCCUCCGCCUUGCCUCAUUUUGAGGACAUGAGUGGGACACAAGAACAUCCUGGCCACACCUCACUGACUUAUGGUCCUACCUACAUACGGAAACUCUCUGGAGCCUUUCAGGCCUUUUCACAGCCUGCUGUUUCUGGGGACCUGAGGGUCAAGUUGAAGCCUUUCCAACCCAGCUGUGCCCCAAGGUCCAGCUUGGGGUAAGCACAGCAUGCAAGGUGCUUGUGAUUUGCCCCUACCUCCUGUAUCUGCCAUGCACACCCUCAUGAACCCUCUCCACUCACCUCCCUAACCCCCACCCUCUACCCCACCAGCCUCUGUUUGCUCUGUUCAGUUCUAGCUCCUUCCCAUCCCACCCAAGGACACCACAUUCUGGCCCUGGCUGAGAAGUAAACAUGUAUGCUUUUGCCACCAAUAUUGGAAUGUUCAUCUCAGUAGAGUACAGUAUCAGAGCAGCAUGUGAGUUGCCAUGUUCCUGUAGAGUCAUUGAUGACAACGUCCUGCUAUAACAAAACACCACAGCCUGGGUAGUUUAUGAACAACAGAAAUGUAUUGCUACAGCUCUGAAGGCUGGAAGUUAAGAGAUCAAGAUAGCAUCAUGGCUAAAUAUGCCUAGAAAUGAACCAGGAAGAGGCAUCUACCUACAUUUCCCUGGGUAAAUGAGGUUAACAGAAUUUUCCUACUCUUCUUCUGUGGUAUAAUAAAAAAUAUAUUGGUCUUUGCCUCUA